rnacentral:rRNA from 1 species
GACGGAGGAUGCAAGUGUUAUCCGGAAUCACUGGGCGUAAAGCGUCUGUAGGUGGUUCAAUAAGUCAACUGUUAAAUCUUGAGGCUCAACUUCAAAAUCGCAGUCGAAACUAUUAAACUAGAGUAUAGUAGGGGUAAAGGGAAUUUCCAGUGGAGCGGUGAAAUGCGUAGAGAUUGGAAAGAACACCAAUGGCGAAAGCACUUUACUGGGCUAUUACUGACACUGAGAGACGAAAGCUAGGGUAGCAAAUGGGG